UAAUACGAAAGGUGCGAGCGUUAAUCGGAAUUACUGGGCGUAAAGCGCGCGUAGGUGGUUAGUUUAGUCUGAUGUGAAAUCCCUGGGCUCAACCUAGGAAUUGCAUCGGAUACUGGCUAGCUAGAGUACGGUAGAGGGAGGUGGAAUUUCCAGUGUAGCGGUGAAAUGCGUAGAGAUUGGAAGGAACACCAGUGGCGAAGGCGGCCUCCUGGACUGAUACUGACACUGAGGUGCGAAAGCGUGGGGAGCAAACAGG
rnacentral:rRNA from 1 species